rnacentral:rRNA from 1 species
UACGGGGGGGGCAAGCGUUGUUCGGAAUUACUGGGCGUAAAGGGCGCGUAGGCGGUUGGAUAAGUCAGCUGUGAAAACCUCGGGCUUAACUCGUGGCCUGCAGUUGAGACUGUCUGGCUUGAGUGUGGGAGAGGAGAGUGGAAUUCCUGGUGUAGCGGUGAAAUGCGUAGAUAUCAGGAGGAACACCGGUGGCGAAGGCGGCUCUCUGGACCACAACUGACGCUGAGGCGCGAAAGCGUGGGGAGCGAACAGG